UGAAGAAAAUGUCUCCAGCCCAUAGUCAGUGAGGAACCAAGGCUUUCUGCCUGUCCAGGACCCAGGUCACCCCCGAGACCACACUUCGGAUGACUGCAAACCCAGGGGACAGCUUGACUACAACUUCAAGACAGACCCUCAUCCAGAAACACCCAGCUCAGCUGCCCCUAGGCUCCGGACCCACUGAACUGUGAUAUAAUGGAUGCUUGCUGUGGUAGGCUGCCAAGUUCAGGGGGACUCCGCUAGAGUGAAGUUCUACAGCAAUAGACAACCAACCCACUAGUUUACCCCUGAAGUCUAGAAGAGUCGAAUGAUAACAAUAUAUUCAAGUUAUCCAUUGUUUACUAUUGUUUUGCUUUUUCAAAGAGUCUGUCACACUCACCUUCAGCCUGACCAGGUUAAAGAAAAGCCCCUGACCCAACCUAGACCAAUCAGAUUCUCUCCUUUGGUAAUUAGUACUUGGGACACUGGUCAGCUGUGGGGAGCAGGCUAGAAGGC